UGCCCCCACACCCCCUACCUCUUUGGUUUUUCUCCCCAGGCUGGGCUCUCCCUCAGCUUGCCCUCCCUAUCUCUAGGCUCUGCCUAACUCGGGAGGCUGAGUGUUUUGGUCUGCUAUGGGCAAACAUCAGCCAGACAGAGGCUUAGGAGAGGAAAUCCCUGAGGGAGUUCAGUUGGUCUGCAGCUCUGAGUGACAGACUGGGUGGGUUGCCUGUGUGCAGCGGAGGGCAGAGGCAGGAGGCUUCUGGUGCCUUGGUGAUGAACUCAGCCUCCAGGCCGGGGAUCCCGCUGCAAGACUCAGCUCCUGUGCAUUCCCAAAAGGGAUCAUCAAGACCCAGUGUACUGAGUCUUCGUUUUGUAAAAAGAAGCCUCAUUCUCUUCUUGUCUUCCACCUCUGCCUCCUUCCUUCCCUUCAAGGACAGCUGCACGUCAUUCAUUAACCACUUCAAAUCUCCCCAUGGCCUCUCUAUAUGUGGAUUCGAUAAGCUUCAAACUGGGGCAAGUAGAUGACCGAAGAACUGAAGAAACCUCCUGCCACUGACGGCAUAAGGAACCCACAUCUGCAAGAAGGCAUGAGAGAGCGAUUGUACUACUUACUUUUCUUGUGGCUGUGAGCAAACACUUGACAAGAAGGAAGGAGGGAAGGGCUUAUCCUGGCCUGUGAUUUGAAGGUGCAGUUCAUCAUGUCUGUGGAUCAAGAUAAGAGUAUUCUUAGCUACUGCUCUAGCGCCAUGCAUGCUGCCAUGCCCUCUGCCAUGAUGAUAAUGGACUAAACCUCUGAAACAGUAAGCCAGCCCCCAAUUAAAUGCUUUCUUUUAUAAGAGUUUCCUUAGACAUGGUAUCUCUGCACAGCAAUAGAGCAGAGAUUAAGACACACCAAAGCAUUAAUGCUCAGUUCAGUCACCUGUUUC